UACCAGCACCCCGAGUGGUCGGGACGAUUAUUGGGCCUAAAGCAUCCGUAGCCGGUUCUACAAGUCUUCCGUUAAAUCCAGCUGCUUAACAGAUGGGCUGCGGAGGAUACUAUAAGACUAGGAGGCAGGAGAGGCAAGCGGUACUCAGUGGGUAGGGGUAAAAUCCGUUGAUCCAUUGAAGACCACCAGUGGCGAAGGCGGCUUGCCAGAAUGCGCUCGACGGUGAGGGAUGAAAGCUGGGGGAGCAAACCGG
rnacentral:rRNA from 1 species